AUUGAACGCUGGCGGCAGGCCUAACACAUGCAAGUCGAACGGUAACAGGAAGAAGCUUGCUUCUUUGCUGACGAGUGGCGGACGGGUGAGUAAUGUCUGGGAAACUGCCUGAUGGAGGGGGAUAACUACUGGAAACGGUAGCUAAUACCGCAUAACGUCGCAAGCCCAAAGAGGGGGACCUUCGGGCCUCUUGCCAUCGGAUGUGCCCAGAUGGGAUUAGCUAGUAGGUGGGGUAACGGCUCACCUAGGCGACGAUCCCUAGCUGGUCUGAGAGGAUGACCAGCCACACUGGAACUGAGACACGGUCCAGACUCCUACGGGAGGCAGCAGUGGGGAAUAUUGCACAAUGGGCGCAAGCCUGAUGCAGCCAUGCCGCGUGUAUGAAGAAGGCCUUCGGGCUGUAAAGUACUUUCAGCGGGGAGGAAGGGAGUAAAGUUAAUACCUUGGCUCAUUGACGUUACCCGCAGAAGAAGCACCGGCUAACUCCGUG
rnacentral:rRNA from 1 species